AAAAGAAAAGAAAAGAAAAGAAAAGAAAAGAAAAGAAAAGAAAAGAAGAUAGGGAGAGAGAGAGAGAGAGAGAGAGAGAGAGAGGCUGUUUCUUCAUGGAGAAAUCAAUUUUGAGGUUAUACCUGGUUUAGCAGUACUCGAGAAAAAAAUAAACAACCAACCUAUGAGGCAUUAUAGAAAGGCCAAGCCAGAAGAUAUUGAGUAUUUUCUCAUUUGUGAAUUCAGAUCUGGCUGGAACCUGGGAUCAGAGGUGGCUCCAGCAGUGAAAGGGCUAUAAAGAAGAUAUUUGGAGACCUCUCUACCUUUGCUUCUCACCACCUGUUUGUGCAAUAACAACGGAACAGCAACUACAGCCUUGGAGUCAAAAAACAGAACGAGAAUUCAGGAGGGAAUUACAGGGCCUCAUCUAGGAAGGACAGGAGAACCAGAUGAACUUCAAGCCCUUCCUGCAGUGCGUUUAAUGAAGAAGUGCUCAUUAAGCAGAGCGAUGAGGACUCAGAACUAAUAUCAGAGUGGUAGAGAUGAUACAUCUGGAAAAAGUUUUGUGGAAAAG
ensembl:lncRNA